GAUGAACGCUGGCGGCGUGCCUAAUACAUGCAAGUCGAGCGAACAGACGAGGAGCUUGCUCCUCUGACGUUAGCGGCGGACGGGUGAGUAACACGUGGAUAACCUACCUAUAAGACUGGGAUAACUUCGGGAAACCGGAGCUAAUACCGGAUAAUAUAUUGAACCGCAUGGUUCAAUAGUGAAAGACGGUUUUGCUGUCACUUAUAGAUGGAUCCGCGCCGCAUUAGCUAGUUGGUAAGGUAACGGCUUACCAAGGCAACGAUGCGUAGCCGACCUGAGAGGGUGAGCGGCCACACUGGAACUGAGACACGGUCCAGACUCCUACGGGAGGCAGCAGUAGGGAAUCUUCCGCAAUGGGCGAAAGCCUGACGGAGCAACGCCGCGUGAGUGAUGAAGGUCUUCGGAUCGUAAACCUCUGUUAUUAGGUAAGAACAAAUGUGUAAGUAACUAUGCACGUCUUGACGGUACCGAAGCAGAAAGCCACGGCUAACUACGU
rnacentral:rRNA from 1 species